rnacentral:tRNA from 1 species
GCCUUCGUGGUGUAAUGGCCAGCACACUGAGCCGGUAUUUCAGAGGACGGUAUUUCAGGUCCGUGGUUCGAUUCCCGGCGAAGGAA